GACGUAGGGCGCGAGCGUUGUCCGGAUUUAUUGGGCGUAAAGAGCUCGUAGGCGGCUUGUCGCGUCGUCCGUGAAAACUUGGGGCUCAACCCCAAGCUUGCGGUCGAUACGGGCAGGCUAGAGUUCGGUAGGGGAGACUGGAAUUCCUGGUGUAGGCGGUGAAAUGCGCAGAUAUCAGGAGGAACACCGGUGGCGAAGGCGGGUCUCUGGGCCGAUACUGACGCUGAGGAGCGAAAGCGUGGGGAGCGAACAGG
rnacentral:rRNA from 1 species